GCCAGUGUGGCUCAGUGGCUAGAGCAUCAGCCUGUGGACUGAAGGGUCCCGGGUUCGAUUCUGGCCAAGGGCG
rnacentral:tRNA from 1 species